GACGAACGCUGGCGGUGUGCUUAACACAUGCAAGUCGAGCGACGCUCUUCCUUCGGGGAGCUGACGGAGCGGCGAACGGGUGAGUAACACGUGGGCAACCUGCCCCUAGCUCUGGGACAACACCGGGAAACCGGUGCUAAUACCGGAUACGACAUCGAGCGGCAUCUCUCGAUGUGGAAAGUUUUUUCGGCUAGGGAUGGGCCCGCGGCCUAUCAGCUUGUUGGUGGGGUAAUGGCCCACCAAGGCGACGACGGGUAGCCGGCCUGAGAGGGCGACCGGCCACACUGGGACUGAGACACGGCCCAGACUCCUACGGGAGGCAGCAGUGGGGAAUAUUGCGCAAUGGGCGAAAGCCUGACGCAGCGACGCCGCGUGAGGGAUGACGGCCUUCGGGUUGUAAACCUCUUUCAGCAGGGACGAAUUCAGACGGUACCUGCAGAAGAAGCACCGGCCAACUACGUG
rnacentral:rRNA from 1 species